rnacentral:tRNA from 1 species
GGCCCUAUCGUCUAGCCUGGUUUAGGACGCCGGGUUUUCAUCCCGGCAACACCGGUUCAAAUCCGGUUGGGGCCGCAA